GAUGAACGCUGGCGGCGUGCCUAAUACAUGCAAGUCGAGCGAACAGACGAGGAGCUUGCUCCUCUGACGUUAGCGGCGGACGGGUGAGUAACACGUGGAUAACCUACCUAUAAGACUGGGAUAACUUCGGGAAACCGGAGCUAAUACCGGAUAAUAUAUUGAACCGCAUGGUUCAAUAGUGAAAGACGGUUUUGCUGUCACUUAUAGAUGGAUCCGCGCCGCAUUAGCUAGUUGGUAAGGUAACGGCUUACCAAGGCAACGAUGCGUAGCCGACCUGAGAGGGUGAUCGGCCACACUGGAACUGAGACACGGUCCCGACUCCUACGGGAGGCCGCAGUAGGGAAUCUUCCGCAAUGGGCGAAAGCCUUACGGAGCAACGCCGCGUGAGUGAUGAAGGUCUUCCGAUCGUAAAACUCUGUUAUUAGGGAAGAACAAAUGUGUAAGUAACUAUGCACGUCUUGACGGUACCUAAUCAGAAAGCCACGGCUAACUACGUG
rnacentral:rRNA from 1 species